AGUGAACGUUGGCGGCGUGGAUUAGGCAUGCAAGUCGAGCGAGAACCGUAGCAAUACGGGGACAGCGGCGAAAGGGACAGUAAUGUGUAGGUACCUACCCCGAGGUCUGGGAUAGCUGCGGGAAACUGCAGGUAAUACCGGAUAAUGUCUUCGGACCAAAGGAGUGAUUCCACCUUGGGAGGGGCCUGCAUCCUAUUAGCUAGUUGGCGGGGUAAUGGCCCACCAAGGCGACGAUGGGUAGCGGGUGUGAGAGGACGACCCGCGUCAUUGGUACUGAGACACUGCCCAGACACCUACGGGUGGCUGCAGUCGAGGAUCUUCGGCAAUGGGCGAAAGCCUGACCGAGCGACGCCGCGUGCGGGAUGAAGGCCUUCGGGUUGUAAACCGCUGUCGUAGAGGAGGAAAUGCAGGUGGGUUCUCCCAUCUGUUUGACCUAUUCUAGGAGGAAGGACGGGCUAAGUUCGUGCCAGCCGCCGCCGUAA
rnacentral:rRNA from 1 species